GGAGAGAUGGCUGAGUGGCUGAAAGCAGCGCCCUGCUAAGGCGUUGAGCCCGUAAGGGCUCCGAGGGUUCGAAUCCCUCUCUCUCCG
rnacentral:tRNA from 1 species